AUUGAACGCUGGCGGCAUGCCUUACACAUGCAAGUCGAACGGCAGCGGGGGAGAAGCUUGCUUUUCCUGCCGGCGAGUGGCGAACGGGUGAGUAAUACAUCGGAACGUGCCCUGUAGUGGGGGAUAACUAGUCGAAAGAUUAGCUAAUACCGCAUACGACCUGAGGGUAAAAGUGGGGGACCGCAAGGCCUCAUGCUCUAGGAGCGGCCGCUGUCUGAAUAGCGAGUUGGUGGGGUAAAGGCCUACCAAGGCGACGAUCAGUAGCUGGUCUGAGAGGACGAUCAGCCACACUGGGACUGAGACACGGCCCAGACUCCUACGGGAGGCAGCAGUGGGGAAUUUUGGACAAUGGGCGAAAGCCUGAUCCAGCAAUGCCGCGUGUGUGAAGAAGGCCUUCGGGUUGUAAAGCACUUUUGUCCGGAAAGAAAUGGCUCUGGUUAAUACCUGGGGGUCGAUGACGGUACCGGAAGAAUAAGGACCGGCUAACUACGUGCCAGCCGCCGCAGUAA
rnacentral:rRNA from 1 species